GGGGCUGUAGCUCAGCUGGUAGAGCAUCGGCUUUGCAAGCCGGGGGUCAGGGGUUCAAAUCCCCUCAGCUCCACCA
rnacentral:tRNA from 1 species